rnacentral:rRNA from 1 species
AACGAACGCUGGCGGCAGGCCUAACACAUGCAAGUCGAGCGAACCCUUCGGGGUUAGCGGCGGACGGGUUAGUAACGCGUGGGAAUAUACCCUUUGGUACGGAAUAGCCUCGGGAAACUGAGAGUAAUACCGUAUGUGCCCUUCGGGGGAAAGAUUUAUCGCCAAAGGAUUAGCCCGCGUUGGAUUAGAUAGUUGGUGGGGUAAUGGCCUACCAAGUCUACGAUCCAUAGCUGGUUUGAGAGGAUGAUCAGCAACACUGGGACUGAGACACGGCCCAGACUCCUACGGGAGGCAGCAGUGGGGAAUAUUGGACAAUGGGCGAAAGCCUGAUCCAGCAAUGCCGCGUGAGUGAUGAAGGCCUUAGGGUUGUAAAGCUCUUUUACCAGGGAUGAUAAUGACAGUACCUGGAGAAUAAGCUCCGGCUAACUCCGUGCCAGCAGCCGCGGUAAAGUGUGACUG